CCUAGACCUGACACCCUCUCUGCCUCUUUAAACGCACUCAGAAAUAGCCCUGAACAUGAGACAAAAUGCUGAUGAACACCCUGCGGCCUGUAACAACCCCGCAGAUCCCUCCCCGCCGCUCUAAACUCACAGGACCCACCACAGCCGGUAGGCGGCACAGCCAGCCCAGACGAGGACCGGAGGAACCUCCCCCGGAGCCGAUCCUCACCAUCCCCCCACGCCUUUGGCCGGCUCUUGGCGCGGGCCCUAUGGGGCGCCCUCACGAUCUCCGACACGGUUAUACUCUGCGCCACCACCAAGCAGCAGCCACGGCUACUGCGGGAGGAAGCGAGGGUAGACUGACACCGCCCCCACCCACCCGCUUCCAGCCAGCAGCGCGGUGGCUACGUGAGACACGGAAGGACUCAGCGCAGGACUGGGAGUCGGGUCUUGGCCGCCUGGCCUGGGUGCUCUGCUGCCCCAGGGAGAAGCCGCUGGAGCUGAGGCCAAGCCCCACUGGAGCAGAAGUGAUUUCAACCGGUCACCACAUGGAUGAGCCCCUGCAGAGCUCAGUCCCUCCUUGCAGAAGACAUUGUAGUCGAAGAACUAAUGAUCUUGAACAGAUCUUCUCCAGUGUGGUAAUGCUCUGCUGGUAAUUCCUGCCUGCAAGAGAAAUCACUCUCAUCUGAUUAACAUUGAUUUAAAACACCUUUUGCUAGAAGGCAAUACAUGAAGCCUGAAUUGGCAGGGAUGCCAGGGAGAAAGCAGCAGUAAUGCGUGAUCUCAGCUAUGGAUGUGCACUGCAAGGAGAUGCACAGCUGUACAGCAAGGUGCAGGGUUAUACACAAGGAAAUGGUGGGAACAACCUUGGUAGGGUCAUGAAGGCUUCUCCACCUCUGGUAGGUUGGGCAUGAGUUUCUGAGGAGCCAGCCCUGACCCAAAAGCUGGACCUCACUCAAGAGCCAUGCCAUGGCUUCACAACCCUCUGCCCCAGAAAACACUCCCCUCACCCUCCAAGCCCUGCAUUUCCACACUCACCAAUGUCCUGCAGAGAUGAUUUCAUCUGAACCAACUUCAGGAACAGCUGCCAAAAAUGGGAGAGAGAAGAAAGCUAGACAAGAGACCAGGUACCUUGCCAAUGGUAUUGAAGCCCAACUACAGAUAAUUGCCAGCCCUUCCAUCUAAGCUCCAAAGCCAGAGCUGUGAGAAGAGUUAUGGGGCAGGAGAGCUUCAAGAACAUACAACCUUCUUCCUCCUGUCCCAUGGCCACCCACCUCUCCAAACCUUCUCUUCCUGCUUCUGUGUAACCAUGUUUGCGUUGCAGUGCACAGCUUGUUUGUUCCACCUCAUCCUUACACCUGCAGGACUGCUCAUAGAGCCAAUUGGCAGAGGAGAGCCAACGAACAGGGCAGGAACCUGUUAGUAAGCAAUAAGUUGCUAUGACAGCUCAUGAAAGUAGCUCUGGAGGAAAACACAGCCUACAAGUAAAGAGGCAGCAACAAACUACCUGCAUAGGAGGAAACAGCUUGAGCCAAAGUGACUUCACAAGACAAGCUACUCUUCAUUUGGGAUGAAAACUCAUAGCAAUCAAGUCCUUUGCAUCUAAGUUACUCCCAUCCAACCCUGCGAGGCUGCUACCAGUCAUGUCCCUGGUGUACUCUUCAGUUUUUCAGAGCACACUGUGCAGACUUAAAUGUGAGGAUCUUCCUCUGAAGCAGCUCUUGAUGUUGUGUCUGCAUGAGCUGCAGCAGAAGAAGACUCUCACAUUUAAGACUUCUACAGCACUGUGCAUUUGUGUUAACAAUGUUAAACCAUAUAGCAAGAAAGAGCAGCAUGUUUGCUUUACCUUCAUGGUCUCCUUGUACUGCAGAUUCCUGAGCCAAACUGAGAUGGCUUUAAGGACCUUUGUCCACCUAAAGCAUCUUCACAAAGCCCACCUUUUGUACUUCUGCCUAAGACUCCUCUUGUAUAUGCAAAGAAACUCUACAAUUAAACCUGGCAAUAUAUUGUACCGUAAAAUCUCCAUAGUAUCUGGAAAAACUCGUAAAGCCACUCCCUUCUGCUAGUUCCAAACUUCUAGCAGUUUUCCCUCAUAUUCCAGGCAAAGGAAUCUCAAGGCAGAAAAAGUUAAAAGCCUCCCCCAGUGGCCUCCCCCAAAAGGCACCCAAAGGAGAAGAUGUGGCAGUCAGAAGAAGGAAAUCACAGGUUGCUGCACAGUUCAGCAGCAGGGUAGCAACUUAUAGGAAGGAGCUCAGUACUUCCUAGCAGCAGCAGACAGUGGGGGAACGCAGGAGGCUGGGGCAUGGUGGGAGACACGAGCCAGGAGACAUCACCAAGGAUGGUGAUGGAUCAACAUCCUGAAUUUCUUCUGAUGCAGUUUUGGCUUUUCCCUAAACUACAUUUGCUUUGCUUCUUCUCAAAGUUUUUGCGCCAUGUGAAUGUGACUGUCCCACAUUGUGUAGCUCUGCAAAGAAGAAAGUUUCAUAUAUAUAUAUAUAUACACACAUACACAAAAAGACUCUGUUGCUCAAAUCAACUUUUAUAAGUGACAUCAAGCUGACCCCAUAUCACACCCCCAUUUCCAGAAACAUAUAAAAGUAGUGUGACUUUUGAAGCGGCAUCCAAGCAGCAUUGCAUAUGUAAGGAUCAGUCCUGCUUGGGCCUGCCUUUUAGUGUAAAAAACUGGUAACAGGAAUUUAUUCAAGGAAGCAUAGUCACAUCUGCCCCUCACCCCAAUGAAUUCAGCCAGGUUUCAACACACAGAAGCCUGAAGCAAAGAGUUUCACCACUUAAGCAGACAGACAACCUAAGGACAGAAAAAAACUGAUACUGAAAAACCUCAAGCUCAUUCUCCUGAAUUGGAGUGUCAUCACUUUGAUAGGUGGACCACUCGGUGGAUAAAGAACUGUCUGAAUGGUCACACUCAAAGAGUUGUGGUCAAUGGUUCAAUGUCCGGCUGGAGACCAGUAAUGAGUGGUGUCCCUCAGGGAUCGGUGUUGGGACCGGUCUUGUUGAAUAUCUUUGUCGCUGACAUGGACAAUGGAAUUGAGUGUGCCCUCAGCAAGUUUGCCGAUGACACCAAGCUGUGUGGUUCUGUUGAUACACUAGAGGGAAGGAGUGCCAUUCAGAGGGACCUUGACACACUUGUGAAGUGGGCUGAUGCCAACCUUAUGAAGUUUAACCAUGCCAAGUGCAAGGUCCUACACCUGGGUUGGAGCAAUCCCCAGGCACAGCUACAAGUUAGGCAAAAAGGAAAUUCAUGGUAGUCCUGCGGAGAAGGACUUGGGGGUGUUAGUCAAUCAGAAAAUGAACAUGAGCCAGCAGUGUGCACUCACAGCACAGAAAGCCAAAUGUAUCCUGGGCUGCAUCAAAAGGAGUGUGACAGCAGGUCGAAGGAGGUGAUCCUGCCCCUCUGCUCUGCUCUCGUGAGACCUCACUUGCAGUAUUGUGUGCAAUUUGGUGUUCUCAACAUAAAAAGGACAUGGAACUGUUAGAACAAGUCCAGAGGAGGGCCACAAGGAUGAUCAGGAGACUGGAGCACUUCCCAUAUGAAGAUAGGCUGAGAAAAUUGGGGCUGUUCAGCCUGGAGAAGAGAAGGCUGCAUGGAGACCUCAUAGCAGCCUUCCAGUAUCUGAAGGGGGCCUACAAGGAUGCUGGUGAGGGACUGUUCAUUAGGGACUGUAGUGAUAGGACAAGGGGUAACGGGUUCAAACUUAAACAGCAGAGGUUUAAACUGGAUAUAAGGAAGAAAUUCUUUCCUGUUAGGGUGGUGAGGUACUGGAAUGGGUUGCCCAGGGAGGUAGUGAAUGCUCCAUCCCUGUCAGUGUUCAAGACCAGGUUGGAUGAAGCCUUGCGUGAUAUGGUUUAGUGUGAGGUGUCCCUGCCCAUGUCAGGGGGGUUGGAACUAGGUGAUCGUAAGGUCCUUUCCAACCCUAACUAUUCUAUGAUUCUAUGAAAGUGAGUGGCAAUACCACAGAACAGCACCCCGGCAAGCUCAUCAAGGGCCAUAAGCAAAGUGUAGUUCACGAUUCAAAUGCCAGAGCUGUUUCAAACCCAUAGCUAUGAAUAGCCAGCUGCUUCCACAGCAGAGCCACACUGGGGAGAUUCACCAAAGGUCAGGGCAGCAGACAAAAGUGGCUGGGGUAGACAGAAAGCAGAGUGCCAACCCUCUGCGUAAGGAUGCUGUCAGCCAUGUGUACAUGGAAAUGAUGAGACAAUGUAAGGUGGCCAAAGCACCAUCUUGCAAAUGGUCAGAUUAGAGUUGCAGACUCAUUAGGCUGGAAAAGACCUUUAAGAUCAUUGAGUCCAACCAUUUACCCUGUGCUGCCAAAUCCACCACUAAACCGUGUCACAAUGUGCCACAUCUGCACAUCUUCUAAACACUUCAGGGAUUGUGACUGCAUCACUGCCCUGGGCAGCCUGUUCCAGUGCUUGACAACCCUCUUGGGGAAGAAAUUGUUCCUAAUCUCCAGUCUAAACCUCACCUGGUGCAGCAUGAGGCCAUUUCCUCUUGUCCUAUCACUUGGUACUUGGGAGACGAGUCCUACCCCCACCUCACAACCUCCUUUCAGGUGGUAGAAUCACUGCAGUAUGGGCCCUAAAUCCUGGCCAAGGCCUAAAAAAGUCGGGGAAAUUCAAGUGUUAAACAUGCAUUGUAGGAGAGAGGAACCUCUGGCAGAUCCCAUAGUUACAGAGUUGAUAAUACAGGAACAUAUAUAAUACAAUAUAAAUUUAUCACUGAACAUAUAAAAAAACUUCCUUUGCAGGAGUACCAUCCUUGUUGUUGCAUCCAGUAUUGGUGGUUAAGCUUAAGAUGGAAUGAGCAGGGUGCUAAGGAAGUUCAUGUUUAAGAAAAGAUAAAACCUGCCCUGUGUGGGGAGAGUCUUCUCUGCUUUCAUGAGUGGCUCCAGCUGUGACCUCCCACCAACUGAAAUCAUGGAACCACAGCCUGCUUUGGGUUGGAAGGGACCUUAAAGCUCAUCCAGUUCCAACCCCCUUCCAACACCUUCCACAAGAGCAGGUUGCUCCAAGCGCCAUCCGACCUGUGCUU
ensembl:lncRNA